rnacentral:rRNA from 1 species
GACGAACGUUGGCGGCGUGCUUAAUACAUGCAAGUCAACUGAAGCAGUGGUAGCAAUAUCGCUGUGGAGGUGGCGCACGGGGGAGUAACACGUAGGUAAUCUGCCUUCAGGUCUGGCAUAACUCCGGGAAACCGGGGCUAAUAGCAGAUGAUGCAGCGGCUCGACAUCGAGACAGUUGUUAAAGCUAUGGCGCCUGAAGAUGAGCCUGCGUCUGAUUAGCUAGUUGGCGGGGUAACGGCCCACCAAGGCAACGAUCAGUAGCUGGUCUGAGAGGAUGAUCAGCCACACUGGAACUGAGACACGGUCCAGACUCCUACGGGAGGCAGCAGUAAGGAAUAUUGCUCAAUGGGAGAAAUCCUGAAGCAGCAACGCCGCGUGAGGGACGAAGGGCUUUUGCUUGUAAACCUCUGUAGUGAGAGAAAAAAAUCCCAAUCUUUGGGACAUGAUGGUAGCUCAAAAGUAAGCCCCGGCUAACUACGUG